CCUACGGGAGGCAGCAGUGGGGAAUAUUGCACAAUGGGGGAAACCCUGAUGCAGCAACGCCGCGUGAGCGAAGAAGUCUUUCGGGAUGUAAAGCUCUGUCAGCAGGGAAGAAAAUGACGGUACCUGACGACGACGCUCCGGCUAACUACGUGCCAGCAGCCGCGGUAAUACGUAUGGGGCAAGCGUUGUCCGGAUUUACUGGGUGUAAAGGGAGCGUAGGCGGAUUUGCAAGUCAGAUGUGAAAUGCGGGGGCUCAACCUCAGGACUGCAUUUGAAACUGGAAGUCUUGAGUGCAGGAGAGGUAAGCGGAAUUCCUAGUGUAGCGGUGAAAUGCGUAGAGAUUAGGAGGAACACCAGUGGCGAAGGCGGCUUACUGGACGGUAACUGACGUUGAGGCUCGAAAGCGUGGGGAGCAAACAGGAUUAGAUACCCUAGUAGUC
rnacentral:rRNA from 1 species